UGGGUGUUGGCUAAAUGUUUUCGGA
rnacentral:piRNA from 1 species